rnacentral:misc_RNA from 1 species
CUGAAAUCAGCGAAAAUCAGCUGCCUCUUUUCAAAGUCGUAAAUAAAAACCCUAAAUUACCACUUGAUCAUUAGCCAAAUCUCCCAAUUACAAAACCAUCGUUCCCCAUUGUUAAAACAAUAACAAGCCUUGGAAUUUAUCAGUUUGGAUCCAAAUCUCAGAGAUGAGGCGCUCUCUCAUGUUUCUCUUGUUCAUGAUGCUGAUAUUAUCACCAUUAAUAAGGGAUGUCUCGGGCAUAGCGAUCUCCGAGACCGCCCUUCCCGUUGAGAGCAGCCAGAUUCCCAAGCUAUACAAAUCUUUUUUGCCCCCAAAACCUAAACAAGAUGUAGCAAUAGUGGUCGCAUUGGAUGGAAAUGUACAUUUUAUCGACACUAACUCAAGGAAAAUUCGCUGGUCUUUUUCAUCUGGGAAGCCGAUUUAUUCUUCUUACCAGGCUACUGUCAACGACGAUGAUAGGCAUAAUGCCUCUGAACUGAUUAACGACUUAUAUUAUAUCGAUUGUGGGGAUGAUUGGGAACUCUACGUGCAUAGUAAGCGCUUUGGCAAAUUGCAAAAACUCUCAUUGAGUGCUGAAGAAUAUAUUAAGAUGACACCACACAUAUCAGAGGAUGGAGAAAUUACACUGGGAUUAAAGAAGACCACUGCAUUUCUGGUUGAUGCCAAGACUGGACGAGUGGUUCGCACUUAUGGGUUGGAUGGUUCUCCUUCCACAUUCAAUGCUCAGACUGCUGAAGAAAAUGCUCUUUUGUUGGCAAAAGAUGCUCAAUUGAUAGAAUCUGUUGCUGCUGACUUGGGAACAACUCAGCAUCUGAUUUACAUAACAAGAACAGAUUAUAUGCUGCAACACUAUUCUCCAAACUCCACUGAAGUGUUAUGGAAUGUUGCAUUUGCUGAUAUUGAGGCUGAAUUUCGCUGUCAAGGAUUUAAAAGUUCCUUAGGUGGAGCUUCUCCAAGUGUAGAUGAGGAAAUUGAUGAUAUUCAAUUUCCUUGUCAGAUGAGGACUCCUGUCCUUCGAAUUCGUGAUUACAGCGUGUUAGAAUUUGAUAAGCUAGCGAUUGCUUAUAUUGGAGGUGGAGAUCAUUUUCUGCCUGCCCCAGUUCACAUGCCUCCCUUAGGACCUGCUAAUGUAUUUCCACUGGCUCUCCCUGCUAAUGAAGACAAGCCUAUGCUUGCUUUGCCUUCAUCUGAGGCCAAAAACCAUGGGAUUUUUGGUUUGCUCGGUGGAAAUGCUGGUGAAAUGGACAGCACAAGUUUAGCUUCUGAAAUUAUAGCAAAGCCUCAUACCUGGCCUGUUAUUUUUGCCAUUUUUUCCAGUAUCAGUUCCAUCUUUUAUGGUUAUUUAACAUUUAGAAAGCAGAGUAAAUUGAAUAAGUCAGUUGAGGAACUUAAAUCACAAGCUGGGAGUGGGAUGCCCAAAAAGAAGAGAAGUAAGAGAUCAGUAAGCAACAGAAAUGGUCCCAAUAAUGAGACAAGGGAGAAAUAUCCCCCUCUUGAGAAUAAGGCUGGAGACACCAUUGGAGUUUCACACAUUGAAAAGAAUGAAAAGAAGCUGUUGUUAACCUUUGCUGAUGUUGUUGAUGGUCGUGUAGAUGGGCGCAGGAUUGGUAAAUUACUUGUUUCUAACAAAGAAAUUGCUAUAGGGAGUAAUGGUACAGUUGUGCUUGAGGGAAUUUAUGAUGGUCGUCCUGUAGCUGUUAAACGCCUUGUGCAGACGCAUCAUGAUGUGGCCAUAAAAGAGAUUCAGAACCUUAUUGCUUCUGAUCAGCAUCCAAAUAUUGUUAGAUGGUUUGGAGUGGAGUAUGAUCAAGAUUUUGUUUAUCUUUCUUUGGAGCGAUGCACUUGCAGCUUAAAUGACUUUAUUUAUGUGUAUUCUGAACCUUUUCAAAGUCGAAUGCUUUCCAAGGAUGCAGAUUUCAACUGCUUGCCUGAAUGCACUGUUCAAUUACAUUCAAUGUUGGAACAUAGAAGAAAUGUUGAAUUAUGGAAGUCAAAUGGACAUCCUUCAAUACAUUUAUUAAAAUUGAUGAGAGAUGUGGUUUCUGGUCUUGCUCAUUUGCAUGAACUUGGAAUUAUUCAUCGGGACUUAAAGCCUCAAAAUGUUUUGAUAAUCAAUGAGAAAUCUUUUUGCGCAAAGCUUUCUGAUAUGGGCAUUAGCAAGCGCCUUGUUGGAGACAUGUCUUCCUUGACCCAACACACAACUGGUUAUGGGAGUUCGGGCUGGCAAGCACCUGAACAACUAUUGCAUGGACGCCAAACACGUGCAGUAGACUUAUUUAGCUUAGGCUGUGUUCUAUUUUUCUGCGUCACAGGAGGAAAGCACCCUUUUG